GACCUCGGACCAGGUAGGGAUACCCGCUGAACUUAAGCAUAUCAAUAAGCGGAGGAAAAGAAACCAACAGGGAUUGCCCUAGUAACGGCGAGUGAAGCGGCAACAGCUCAAAUUUGAAAUCUGGCUCUUUCAGAGUCCGAGUUGUAAUUUGCAGAGGGCGCUUUGGAGUUGGCAGCGGUCCAAGUUCCUUGGAACAGGACGUCACAGAGGGUGAGAAUCCCGUACGUGGUCGCUAGCCUUCGCCGUGUAAAGCCCCUUCGACGAGUCGAGUUGUUUGGGAAUGCAGCUCUAAAUGGGAGGUAAAUUUCUUCUAAAGCUAAAUACUGGCCAGAGACCGAUAGCGCACAAGUAGAGUGAUCGAAAGAUGAAAAGCACUUUGGAAAGAGAGUCAAAUAGCACGUGAAAUUGUUGAAAGGGAAGCGC
rnacentral:rRNA from 1 species